AACAAACGCUGGCGGCGUGCCUAACACAUGCAAGUCGUACGAGAAAGAGUCCUUCGGGGCUUGAGUAAAGUGGCGCACGGGUGAGUAACGCGUGGAUAAUCCGCCCUUCAGUUGGGAAUAACCCAUCGAAAGGUGGGCUAAUACCGAAUAACACUGUGAGACUUUGGUCGAUCAGUCAAAGAGAGCCUCUGCUUGCAUGCCCUCGCUGAAGGAUGAGUCCGCGUACCAUUAGCUAGUUGGUAGGGUAAUGGCCUACCAAGGCGACGAUGGUUAGCUGGUCUGAGAGGAUGAUCAGCCACACUGGAACUGAGACGCGGUCCAGACUCCUACGGGAGGCAGCAGUGAGGAAUCUUGCGCAAUGGGGGCAACCCUGACGCAGCAACGCCGCGUGAGUGAGGAAGGUCUUCGGAUCGUAAGGCUCUGUCAGAUGGAAAGAACCGCAUGGGGGUGAAUAUCCCCUAUGUCUGACGGUACCAUCAGAGGAAGCACCGGCUAACUCCGUGCCAGCCGCCGCGGUAA
rnacentral:rRNA from 1 species